UACAGAGGUCUCAAGCGUUUGUUCGGAUUUAUUGGGCGUAAAGGGUGCGUAGGCGGCAAUGUAAGUUGGAUGUGAAAUCUUGAGGCUUAACCUCAAAAUUGCAUUCAAUACUGCGUUGCUUGAGCGCUGUAGAGGAGACUGGAAUUCUCGGUGUAGCAGUGAAAAUGCGUAGAUAUCGAGAGGAACACCAGUGGCGAAGGCGAGUCUCUGGACGACACCCUGACAACUGAGGCACGAAA
rnacentral:rRNA from 1 species